GUUAAGUCAGAUGUGAAAGCCCGGGGCUCAACCUCGGAAUUGCAUUUGAAACUGGCAAACUAGAGUACUGUAGAGGGGGUAGAAUUUCAGGUGUAGCGGUGAAAUGCGUAGAGAUCUGAAGGAAUACCGGUGGCGAAGGCGGCCCCCUGGACCAGAUACUGACACUCAGAUGCGAAAGCGUGGGGAGCAAACAGGAUUAGAUACCCUGGUAG
rnacentral:rRNA from 1 species